ACAGAGCCCGACACGGGGCUCGAACUCACCAACCAUGAGAUCACGACCUGAGCCAAAAUCAAGAGUCUGGACUGAACUGCCCCCAGGAGAUUUGUGUUUAAUUCAACAGCCCUUUACAAGGUGAGCAUUAAGGUUGCAUAGAAGAGAAAAUCCCUAAGAAUGGCCAAGAAAAUGAUGGAAAAAAACCAGCUGGCUUUCGGAACAUGCUAUAACGUACUUGUCAUUGAAAUAGCAUGAUGGUGUCGGGUAGGAAGGGCCACGUGGAAACUGCCAUGGGAGCGCCUUUCCAGAUAAAGGGGAGGGGCAUGAAGUCCGCAAAUAAAGGUGUUGAUACAGCUGGGGAAACCAGCCUUCGCCUCCCACCAUCGCCCAAAACAGAGCCAGGCAUGGCAGGGAGAUAAGACUGGAAAACAUGGAAAUAAAACCUGGGGCACUUUGAUGACCCUGGGGCUGGGAUGCUCAACCCCAACCAGAAACCACCUAGAGAAAGCAGGAACUGGCCACGGAAGAAACGCUAAUGGUCAAGACACUGUUUGAAAAGAAGCUCCCCCUCAAAGGAAUCAGAGACAGGGAGCCGUGGUGUAGACUGGCGCAGACACAAAGACUGCCGUCCCGAGGAUAGUCACGAUUUGUUACGGCAGCAAGAACGGGGACACGGGGGCACCUGUGUGGCUCGGUGGGUUAAGCGUCCAACUCUUGAUGUGGGCUCAGGUCAUGACCUCGUGGUUCCUGAGAUCCAGUCCCCAGUCAGUGCAGCGCCUGCCUGGGAUUUUCUCUCCCUCUCUCUGCCCUUCCCUCCCCUCAAAAAUAAGUAAACAAACACUUAAAAAGCUG